rnacentral:sRNA from 3 species
GAUGAGAACCUCCGGGGGCAAGAGGUUCGACUCGAGCGAAGCGAGAGAACGUUGCGUCAGCAACGGCCCGCAGUGGCAAGUCAUCCUCUGUCACCGGCAG